UACAGAGGUCUCAAGCGUUGUUCGGAUUCAUUGGGCGUAAAGGGCGCGUAGGCGGCGGGGUAAGUCGGGUGUGAAAUCUCAGGGCUCAACCUUGAAACUGCACUCGAUACUGCUCUGCUUGAGGACUGGAGAGGAGACUGGAAUUCACGGUGUAGCAGUGAAAUGCGUAGAUAUCGUGAGGAAGACCAGUGGCGAAGGCGGGUCUCUGGACAGUUCCUGACGCUGAGGCGCGAAGGCCAGGGGAGCAAACGGG
rnacentral:rRNA from 1 species